UACGUAGGGGGCAAGCGUUGUCCGGAAUCAUUGGGCGUAAAGCGCGUGUAGGCGGUCCGGUAAGUCCGCUGUGAAAGUCGGGGGCUCAACCCUCGGAUGCCGGUGGAUACUGUCGGGCUUGAGUACGGAAGAGGCGAGUGGAAUUCCUGGUGUAGCGGUGAAAUGCGCAGAUAUCAGGAGGAACACCAAUUGCGAAGACAGCUCGCUGGGACGUUACUGACGCUGAGACGCGAAAGCGUGGGGAGCAAACAGG
rnacentral:rRNA from 1 species